UACGGAGGGUGCAAGCGUUAUCCGGAUUCACUGGGUUUAAAGGGUGCGUAGGUGGGCAGGUAAGUCAGUGGUGAAAUCCCCGAGCUUAACUUGGGAACUGCCGUUGAUACUAUCUGUCUUGAAUAUCGUGGAGGUAAGGCGGAAUAUGUCAUGUAGCGGUGAAAAUGCUUAGAUAUGACAUAGAACACCAAUUGCGAAAGGCAGCUCGU
rnacentral:rRNA from 1 species